ensembl:lncRNA
UGUGAUCCUGACAAAUGGUUCCUUCCAGAACGCAGUUAAACCAAGUAAAUAAUUAAAAGGAUGAAAUAAUGAUUUUACAUUAAGGUAACAUGUUAAUCACAUACCUAAAAAAAUGGAAUUAUCUCGUUUUAUUUAAAAAAUCGAAUAUAUUUUCACUGCCAUCAAGCACACACUGAAAUACUUAAUGCGACCAAAUACACCGCAGUACUGCAGUACUACUUCCUCUAGCUACUAGCUAGUACCAGCUAGUACUUUUCCAUGUACUGACAAAGAUUUGCAUCCAGUCUCACUGCGAUCUCAGCAACGAAAUUGAAUACACAGGGCGUUUGCCCACCUAAGUAAUGGCACCAAAGCGGGCAGCAACAACAACACACUCUGUCAGUGUCCACACAGGCUCUUCUGUCAAAAUGAUGAAGAUUGGCAUGGAUCAUUCUCUGGAGGACUUUGGUGAGGUAAUAGAGGAGAAGUACAGAAUACCAGAUGAUGGAUAUUCACCCAUAGAGGGUGAACCAAUCACCUUCGAGGAAGAAGACGAUCAAAGUCCUGAAACGAGAACCGACACCAUAACUCUCCUGAUGAAAAUUGAUCAGCUCCAAGCAGAACUGAAAUAUGAGCGUAGAUGCAGGCAGCUGGCUGAGAGGGAACUGAAACAGAUGAAAGAGAUGAAUGACCUGAUGACCCAGAUGAGACACACUGCCCAUGACCUGAGGACUGUUCUGGACCAUGCUCGGGGGCAGCAGGGGAAUGAUGUGAAUGAUGUUGUGAACGAUGCUGUCACCCCAGAGAGCUGUGAGGGGCAGAGCAUCUCUUAUGCGGACGUGCCAGUUCAGAUGUCACAGGUGGUGUCACAGGAGGUAGAGCAGGACGCUAACUAUAUCCACCUCCCUGGGGGUCUGAGAGUGCAGAGGAAUCUGUACAAGGGGAUCUCAGAGAUCAUGGACUUCAAGAAGUACAUCUCAGCCAUGCUGAUGGUGCUGUUUGACAGGGAGACGCUGGGCACACACAGUCUGCAGGGCAGGAGGUGUAACAUCGCCAAAGAGGAAACGCAGAAACCUCAACUUCCCCCUGACAUCAUGAGAGGCCUUCUAGGUGACCUUCUUUGCGAGGCGUUGGAAAACCUCCCAGGUCUUUGUGGUUGAUUCUGUGUUUGAAAUUCACUGCUUGACUGAGGGACCUUACAGAUAAUUAUCACGUGAGGAUAAAGUUUGGUGUGGAUUACAGUGCGAUUCGAGCUGCCGUCAGAACAAAGUUAAAUAAUGAAGACAAACUGUUGAAGAAGAGACUUGGGAUCCGUUAAAUCUCCAUUCAAAAAAAUAAAAAUAACCAAAUACCAGGUUAUAAUCACACAAUUGUUUACAUUGCAAUUACUGUAUUCUGUCCUGUAAGUGCAAUGUUUUAUUCCACCAACAGAUGUCAGUGUUUAGACAGUUUAGUUGGUUGAUGUUACUUUUGAUCAGAAGGAUAUUGACUUUGUUUGUUUGUAUGAUUUAAGAGUACUGUAGACUACACAUAUUAUAGAUUACAUUUGUGAUUGAUUGACUCACAUAGUAGCCUUAACAACACAUUAUUCUAUAAUGAUUGUGCCUGUUAAAUACAUGUCUUUCUGAUUCCCACAACAUCCAAUCUGGUUUCACUAAUGCUAUUAAAUUACAUUUUUUAUAUAUAAAAAAAAACAUGUUAAACCCCUAA